AACGAACGCUGGCGGCAGGCUUAACACAUGCAAGUCGAGCGCCCCGCAAGGGGAGCGGCAGACGGGCGAGUAACGCGUGGGAAUCUACCCAUCUCUACGGAACAAAUCCGGGAAACUGGAGAUAAUACCGUAUACGUCCUUCGGGAGAAAGUUUUAUCGGAGAUGGAUGAGCCCGCGUUGGAUUAGCUGGUUGGUGGGGUAAUGGCCUACCAAGGCGACGAUCCAUAGCUGCUCUGAGAGGAUGAUCAGCAACACUGGGACUGAGACACGGCCCAGACUCCUACGAGAGGCAGCAGUGGGGAAUAUUGGACAAUGGGCGAAAGCCUGAUCCAGCCAUGCCGCGUGAGUGAUGAAGACCCUAGGGUUAUAAAGCUCUUUCAACGGUGAAGAUAAUGACGGUAACCGUAGAAGAAGCCCCGGCUAACUUCGUGCCAGCCGCCGCCGUAAGAC
rnacentral:rRNA from 1 species